rnacentral:rRNA from 1 species
AUUGAACGCUGGCGGCUGGCUUAACACAUGCAAGUCGAGCGAGCGGCGGACGGGUGAGUAAUGUCUGGGACACUGCCUGAUGGAGGGGGAUAACUACUGGAAACUGUAGCCAAUACCGCAUACCAUCAGAUGUGCCCAGAUGGGUUUGGCUUGUUGGUGGGGUAAUGGCUCACCUGGGCGACGAUCCCUAGCUGGUCUGAGAGGAUGACCAGCCACACUGGAACUGAGACACGGUCCAGACUCCUACGGGAGGCAGUAGUGGGGAAUAUUGCACAAUGGGCGAAAGCCUGAUGCAGACAUGCCGCGUGUGUGAAGAAGGCCUUCGGGUUGUAAAGCACUUUCAGCUAGGAGGCGUUACUCGCAGAAGAAGCACCGGCUAACUCCGUGCCAGCAGCCGCGGUAAUAC